AUUGAAUGCUGGCGGCAGGCCUCACACAUGCAAGUCGAACGGUAACAGGAAGCAGCUUGCUGCUUUGCUGACGCGUGGCGGACGGGCGAGUCAUGUCUGGGAAACUGCCGGACGGCAGGGGAUAACUACUGGAAACGGUAGCUAACACCGCAUAACGUCCCAAGGCCAAAGAGGGGGAACUUCGGGCCUCUUGCCUUCGGUUGUUCCCAGAUGGGAUUAGCUAGUAGGUGGGGUAACGGCUCACCUAGGGGACGAUCCCUACCUGCGCGGAGAGGAUGACCAGCCACACUGGAACUGAGACACGGUCCAGACUCCUACGGGAGGCAGCAGUGGGGAAUAUUGCACAAUGGGCGCAAGCCUGAUGCAGCCAUGCCGCGUGUAUGAAGAAGGCCUUCGGGUUGUAAAGUACUUUCAGCGGGGAGGAAGGUGUUGAGGUUAAUAACCUCAGCAAUUGACGUUACCCGCAGAAGAAGCACCGGCUAACUCCGUGCCAGCAGCCGCCGUAA
rnacentral:rRNA from 1 species